AAUCUCUUUUACACAUGAUCUGUUAUGUUUUGAAAUUGUCAAAAACGCAUACCACAUGAUCUGUUCUGUUUUGAAAUUGUUAGUUGAUAUUGGUUUCUUUUUGAAACUUGUUGAUAUGUUUUGAAAGCUUAUUAUUUUUGUUACUGCAUUUAUAUAGGUGGUAUAAUAUGGAUAGGAAAUGGAUUUCAGCCAAUCGAUUGUCAAAAGAGUAUGAAAUUGGAGUGAAGGAGUUUGUUGAGUUUGCAGUGAAGAAUGCAAAAGAUCCAAAUAGAGUAGUUUGUCCUUGUUUAAAAU
rnacentral:lncRNA from 1 species